GUAGAAUAACCGUAUAUUGACUUUGGCAGAUGCCAAUGAAACAGGGAAUGCGGUGAAAGUCCGCAACAGCUCACUCUACUGUAAGGGAUGACGAACCCUGCAUACCACUGUGUUCGGAUGAGUUUCGGAUGCGGGAAGGGCAGGAAGUAGGUUUUAGUCCUAAGUCAGGAUAUCGGUCAAUAGGUAAGUAACAUC
rnacentral:ncRNA from 2 species